UACGGAGGGUGCAAACGUUGCUCGGAAUUAUUGGGCGUAAAGCGCGCGUAGGCGGUUCGCUAUGUCGGAUGUGAAAGCCCUCGGCUUAACCGAGGAAGGGCAUCCGAAACUGGCGGGCUUGAGUACGGAAGAGGGUCUCGGAAUUCCCGGUGUAGAGGUGAAAUUCGUAGAUAUCGGGAGGAACACCAGUGGCGAAGGCGGAGACCUGGGCCGAUACUGACGCUGAGGUGCGAAAGCGUGGGGAGCAAACAGG
rnacentral:rRNA from 1 species